UUUUUCGUAUCACCUGUAUAUUUUUUCUUAUUGUAUAUAAUAAGAAGAGUAUAUAUAUAAAUAAAUAUAGGAACCCUCAUCAGCCGGAACAAAAUACGUAACAAGUGACUGGCUGGUAUAUACAUACUUAGAAAAUUAGAAACAAAAAUGUUCUUGUACAUCUUUAUUCUUUCAACAUCUGAGGGCCAAAAAGAAAAGGACGAAUCGGAGGGAACGAAAAACCCAAUUCCAGUAGAUCACGCACGCCAAAGUUGUUCUUCUCCCAGCAUAUAGUUCUCAGGUAAAAAAGGAGAACGAAGCUAGCUAUAGCCGCCAUGUAUAUUAUAGCAGAAGGUGAACGUUGGCUUUCCUUCAUCAUCAUCUCUCUACAGCAGGGAGGCAUCAUCUCUCUUAAGCAGUUAUUUGUUAUCUUUCUCUCGCUUCUUUUUACAUUCCCUUUUUUCUUUUUUUAAUUCCUCCCGGAGAGAGAGGGGGGACCCCAAAAAAUUAUACCCAGGUAUAGUAGUAGUAGUCUAUAGUAACUUUUCUUGUGUGACCGUGGUCUUUCGCCAGAGGAGAUAUACACAUGUACACAGCACGUAGUAUAUAGCAGCAGCCCUUUUUGUUUUAUUUAUUUCGUUUUUCUUUUCGACCUGUCGUCGGGGAAAAGAAACCAAAAUGGGAGGGCUGUGAGGAACAUUUCCGAGUCGGGAAGCCCAAAAACUUUGGUGGUGUUUUACAUGCUUGCUGCUGCCUUUUGCCGGUGCAUAUAAUAUAGACUUGUGUUGUUGUUGUUGUUAUUAUUAUUAUUAUUAUUAUUAGAAAAGGUGAGGGCUCUCUCUCUCUGGGCUAUAGGAGCUGGGGAAACGAAUAACUUAUAUAUCUCUCUCGGUCCGAGAGAUAAGACAUAAAUCACGGAAACACGCGAGAAAAGAGCUAUAGUGCACGGCCGGAAUUCAAAUGCCGUGUAUGGGGAAAUAAUUAGAUUUUCCUUAUUGUGGGUCUUGUUCCACUUGUUGUUGUUGUUGUGUCCGCAUAUAAUCAAGUUAUAUAGAUAAAUAUUGCUUGCUUGGCUUCCAAGAGGGAUCCUGGAGGGUCUCUCAUUGUGGACGUUUUCGAUCUCAAAGUAAUUAAAUCGGCAAGUUUCGUGCCAAUUUUUUCUUUUUUCUCGAUCCGUUCAGCGGAUGUGAGAAAAACCGUUUUCAUCGUUUUUGAGCGGUUUGAAUUUAGCGAGGUGGGGGGCGAUUUUUAAUCAUUUUUAGAUCGAUAUUUAAGAAUGGCUAAUUAGAAUAUUAAGUGUCGUCUGCUGUCGUUUUGUUUCACAGUUUCGAAAAAGAGACGAACUGACGAAGUUCCAGAAACAAAGAAAACAGAACUAUUACUUGUUUGGAAACGUAUACACGUGGCUGCACGAAAAAAAGGCAACAAAUAAAAGUACAAAAAUGUGGUCGUCAACUCGCGUCUCUAUAGAAUCGCGUUACAACCUACACACACAGGCCAAGGAUGCUGUUUUUCAGGCAAAUAAAACUAGGAAUACAAAUUAAUAGAAUGAUUGUGGGAACUUAAAUAGAAGAGAAAACUGUUUCAAAUUUGUGAAAUAUUGAUUUCCUGACUAGCGUUUAUCUUGCAAGCCCCUUGUCAAUGCAUGGCAGUUUGUUUGCAGUUUUACGUAAACUUUUUUCUUUGUGCAGAUUUUAGGCCAGUGGCAGCCAACGUAACAACAAGAUAUGCCACUUUGGCUUGUGCUCAACCUGUUAUUUCAAUCUCAGCAUCAUCAUUUGGCAUCAAAUUUGAUUGGAGAAAUGUUCCUUCCUUUAAUUCUCCUCUUUCCUCGUGUACACCCAUGUGUGUGUGGGUGUAUUCACGAGGACCCCUUAGUUUCCCUAUCUCGCCCAGGUGCUGGAUUCAACUUUUCUGCGGAUGGAGCAGUUGUGGAUGCCUGGCCGUUUUUCCCAGGCACAAAGGAAAAACCUGCUGCCGAUGGCCAGAUUCACGAGAAAAUAACAUUUCGAUCCCAACUAUAGUCUGUGCACAGUUGUCUAGAUGAGAGAGGAUAUAGAGAUGAGCGCAUGAAAUUCGAUCGUCGGAUAAACUGUGAACAGCAGCCAGCCGCCUAUAAAAGGCAAAUCACACAGCGCUGUUAGAAAAAUUCUCAACAAAUCCCCACAAGAGAGUAGAGGAAUGAGCGGCUUGUGAAAUAACUUUUUUGGUGCGCUGCAGCAGUGACCGACCAUGCACGUGAUGAUGUGGUAAAACGAAAUUGGAAAAAAAAGAAGAAGAAGAAACGAAACGGGCAGCCAGCAGCAACGGCUCGAUGAUUUUUAUUUGUAUAUGAUGGCUCAAUUGAGGAAGAAGAAGAAGAAGUAAGGCAACCUUUGAAACGUGUACAACAAAUUGUUUUGUAUAUUGUCGUAGAUGUAUCUAUCCUAUACACAAAGAUAAACACA
rnacentral:lncRNA from 1 species